GAUGAACGCUGGCGGCGUGCUUAACACAUGCAAGUCGAACGAAGCACUUUAUUUGAUUUCCUUCGGGACUGAUUAUUUUGUGACUGAGUGGCGGACGGGUGAGUAACGCGUGGGUAACCUGCCUUGUACAGGGGGAUAACAGUUGGAAACGGCUGCUAAUACCGCAUAAGCGCACAGCAUCGCAUGAUGCAGUGUGAAAAACUCCGGUGGUAUAAGAUGGGCCCGCGUUGGAUUAGCUAGUUGGUGAGGUAACGGCCCACCAAGGCGACGAUCCAUAGCCGACCUGAGAGGGUGACCGGCCACAUUGGGACUGAGACACGGCCCAAACUCCUACGGGAGGCAGCAGUGGGGAAUAUUGCACAAUGGGCGAAAGCCUGAUGCAGCGACGCCGCGUGAGCGAAGAAGUAUUUCGGGAUGUAAAGCUCUAUCAGCAGGGAAGAUAAUGACGGUACCUGACUAAGAAGCACCGGCUAAAUACGUG
rnacentral:rRNA from 1 species